CGCCGUUUCUAGGCAACUGCAGACUCUAGAUCCUUUGUGGGGUCUGCUAGCCAAGCGACAGAAGUGCCCUAGAAAGUGCUAAUGGGCGGUUCGCAUCUGUCACACACCUCUGAGAGCUUUGUCCUCUAAACUUCUGACCAGUUCCAGGGAGUAAAACUGGCCUCCCAGAUGUGUGGAACCAUCCCUGGAUCUAUAGCUCUUUGUCACCGUCUUCUUUCUGCCUUCUGAGAGACCCUGAAACCCUUGCCAUGGAAAAGUACCACGUUUUGGAGAUGAUUGGAGAAGGCUCUUUUGGGAGAGUGUAUAAGGGCCGGAAAAAAUACAGUGCUCAGGUGGUGGCCUUGAAGUUCAUCCCCAAACUGGGGCGCUCAGAGAAAGAG
rnacentral:lncRNA from 1 species